AGAGAGUGUUUCUUUGAUUAGAUUAUGCGAUUGAAAGUUUUCUGGUUUUCCUCGUAGGGCUUGUAGCUCAGUCGGUUAGAGCGCGCGCUUGAUAAGCGUGAGGUCGGAGGUUCAAGUCCUCCCAGGCCCACCAGUUACACUAUGCAGCAAAUUGCUCUGAUCACUGAAAGUUGCUCUGAGUGAGAAUGUUAAAAUCUAGUGAAAUGUUCCCAAUUCUUUAUUGAAUAAUCCCUUAAAGAAAAUUUAUGCUUAAAUAAAUUCUUCUAAGAGCAUUCAGAGCCUCCAUAGGAACUCAAAGCCUUCCAUAGAAACGAAGUUUUCGCGAGAAUUUUUUCACUCCUCUUCAGUAAGGGGAAAACAGGAAAAUAACGAGGGAAAUAAAAGGCCAAUAUUGUAUUUCUUAAUCAAUUCAAUUAAUCAAUAUUGUCUUUCUCUUUGUAAAAAGCUUAAUGGUAAAAGUUUAAAAGAGCUUCUGUUUUAAAAGUAUGACGUUUUUAUAAAAGCGAGACGUGAGGGCAUUUAAAACUGUUUUAGGGGCCGUAGCUCAGCUGGGAGAGCACCUGCUUUGCAAGCAGGGGGUCGUCGGUUCGAUCCCGUCCGGCUCCACCAUAUGGUUCAUCAUCAUUGUUAAAAGAAUAGUUAUUGCAAGAGAUUG
rnacentral:tRNA from 1 species